GAUGAACGCUGGCGGCAUGCCUAACACAUGCAAGUCGAUCGGUAAGGCUCUUCGGAGUACACGAGAGGCGGACGGCUGAGUAACUCGUAGGUACACACCCUGCAGGUAGGGAUAAGACACCGAAAGGUGUUCUAAUACCGCAUACGGUCUUCGGAUUAAAGCAUUUAUGCGCUGAAGGAGUGGCCUGCGUCAUGUUAGAUAGUUGGUGAGGUAAUGGCUCACCAAGUCGAUGAUGUGUAGCUGGUCUGAGAGGAUGAUCAGCCAGACUGGAACUGAGACACGGUCCAGACUCCUACGGGAGGCAGCAGUGAGGAAUAUGUCACAAUGAGCGAAAGCUUGAUGGAGCAAUGCCGCGUGCAGGAUGAAGGCCCUCGGGUUGUAAACUGCUUUUAUAAGAGAAGAUUAUGACGGUAACUUAUGAAUAAGGGACGGCUAACUACGUG
rnacentral:rRNA from 1 species